CUACGGGGCGCACCAGUGGGGAAUAUUGCACAAUGGAGGAAACUCUGAUGCAGCAACGCCGCGUGGAGGAUGACACUUUUCGGAGCGUAAACUCCUUUUAUAUAGGAAGAAGAUGACGGUACUAUAUGAAUAAGCGCCGGCUAACUCCGUGCCAGCAGCCGCGGUAAUACGGAGGGCGCAAGCGUUACUCGGAAUCACUGGGCGUAAAGGGCGUGUAGGCGGAUUAAAAAGUCAGAAGUGAAAUCCUAUAGCUUAACUAUAGAACUGCUUCUGAAACUCUUAAUCUAGAAUAUGGGAGAGGUAGAUGGAAUUUCUGGUGUAGGGGUAAGAUCCGUAGAGAUCAGAAGGAAUACCGAUUGCGAAGGCGAUCUACUAGAACAUUAUUGACGCUGAGACGCGAAAGCGUGGGGAGCAAACAGGAUUAGAUACCCUAGUAGUC
rnacentral:rRNA from 1 species